rnacentral:lncRNA from 1 species
AGCUCCUAACUGAACUUUAACUUGAAUAAAGUGGAUCAUCAGGAAGUUAAAGGAGCAGUGAAGGAAACCAAGGAGAUUCUGAAGCUAUGCUAAGUGAGACUGUUUCUGCCAAAUGAUAAAAAGUUGGACUGUUUGGAGUUAAAGUCAGAGGACCAUGCAUUUACUGUGAUGUGUGGAAGUCCAAAAAUCUACUCGACCUUUUUAGGAUCAAUCACAGAAAAGCCACAAGGAGGAGAU